rfam:Myotis davidii contig215382, whole genome shotgun sequence.
GGUGGUAUUCGGGUGACACACCCUGGAAUUGGGCUCCUUCCUCUCUGGUUCCGGGGUGCAUCACCCGAGGAUCGCA